GAUAAAUCAAAAAUUGUGACCAUUAUUAUGGCAAUAGUGCUGUAAACAUAUCUAACCUAAUGUAAUCCCAUAAAUGUAAAAAUACAUGAAUUUGACAAGGAACAUAAGUAUUUAAAUGAAAUAUACAAUGAAAAAUUCUGCAUAUUGUUUUUACCAUAAAGUUCCAAUAUAAAACCUGACAGUUGAUAAGUAAAAUAAAAUAAAAUCGUUCUAUUACUCUAUAAGUACAUUGCUGAAUAUAAUAUAAGUGAUUUUUUAACAGUGCUGACUCUCUGCAUUACAGAUACACGUCUGAUCAUUCUGAUCUGUUCUGGUGUUGUAAGUCUGAUGUUUGUAGCUGCAGUUCUGAUCUUCUGUCUCUACAGAAAACACAAAGCACUUCUCGUGAAAGAUAAAACAAGUGAGACAGAUGAAGAGAGCAGCUUAAACUCCAGCAGCACGUUUGAGGAUGGAGAAGCUUCAAGGUUUUUGAAUAAAACGCAGAAAAUUGAUAUGCAUGAGGGACCUGAUUGAAGCUUAAGAAAAUACAGGCUGUGUCUCAAUCAGUUCUCUUGUUAAGUAAUCAGAGUUCCGAUCAGAGAUUUGGCCUCACUCUCAAAAUCAUUAAAGUGUUAUCGUUUCUUGUUUGUGCUAAGAAACCAAAACAUACCAGCCGAUUUCAAACGUGCACAAAAACUCUGGGCUGUGAUUGGUUGGGCUCUAUCGCUAGCGUUGAUUUCAUUGGGCGAUGGCUUGUUCAGCUUCAUCCGCCGCAAGAAUGGGUCCAGGCCCGUAAGCACCGCUUACCUGCUUACCGAUAGUUAUGCCCCUGCAUAUCUACCCAGGGCAGCCUCCAAGUCAUCUGUACUGAUCCUACUGGAUCUGUCUGCUGCUUUUGACACUUUUACCACAUCCUCCUGUCGACCCUCAAGGCUAUGGGUGUCUCUGGAUUGGCGCUACUAUGGUUCAGGUCUCAUGUAGGUCAUUUAGAGUAUUCUGGAGAGGUAAUUUCUCUGAACGCAAACAUCUCAAUACCAGGGUACCUCAAGGCUCAGUGCUUGGACCACUGCUAUUUUCUUUAUACACAACAUCCUUGGGUUCUGUCAUUCGGAAACAUGGCUUUUCCUAACACUGCUAUGUGGAUGACACACAUCUCCACUUGCCGUUCCAGCCUGACAAUCCCACAGUUUCUGCCAGCAUCUCAGCAUGCUUGCAAAGACAGAACUGCUUGUCAUAUUAUCUGACCCUAAGAUUCAUCACAAUAUUUCCAUUCAACAUGGUUCUUCGACCAUUAAGCCCUCAAGGACAGCCAAAAACCUGGGAGUGGUCAUUGAUGAUCAGCUUAGUUUCACAGAGCAUGUUGACAAAGUAAAGUGAGCUGGCAUGACCCGACCUGUGGGGUCUAUACAAUGGAACGGCUGCUGCCCCAAAAAGCCUCCUGCAGAUGAUCCACUGUAAUUGCACAACUGCCUGCCGAACACAACGGUGCAGUUGAAGGGCAUAUGGACUACCAUGCAUGCCUGCUAAUGGUAAAUCUAGUGAAGGUCGCAGUGCAAAAACGUAUAA